rnacentral:lncRNA from 1 species
GGGCUGAUGUCCGAUUUGUGUAUCGCAAGCACACGCCUUUCGUACCAAAAGGUAAUAUAGCCAUCGCCAGCUUCUUGAGCUCCCGCUUCUUGACUCGGAGCGCAGCGGAGUGCGGGCAUUGCUACUCGUUUCUGUUGGCUAUUUUGGGCCUCGCUGAGUUAGCCGAAUUCCUUCAGCUAUUUCUCAGUCAUUGGCUUGGGAUUGUGCGGUAUCACGAACAGUGACGGAGCGAUUUGGAGGUCCGGAGCAACGCACUUUGUCGGCGUAAUCGUGAUGAAGUGAGGAUUGUUUUAGGUAGCUGGAUCGACCGUGGGCGCCAAGGGAGUAAAGGAGGUGCAACACCAGUGUUGAUGUUCGGCAACGGGUGCGUCGUCUGUGCUGAUAUGUAUCGGCCAAGUCCUGAGACGUACAAUUAGGAUCCUGUUAAGGGAUCCUCUAUGUGUUGUCAGGCUCUGCUCGGUAGCGUCAUAUUUGAUUGUUGGCGUAUCACUUCUCCGUAUUUAUUCUUUUCGAGCCUAUUGUUGGUGUAUCACUUCUCCGUAUUUAUUCUUCUCGAGCCUUCCCUCCUUUCGAGCAAUAGUACAUGUCAUCAAUGGGACGUACCAGAGCAACUCUGCGCAGGGCUGAUGUCUACUGCUGUGUCCUCCCCAGGAAUGAUAAAAACCUGGACACAAAGAUCAACGGCAAGGUGGCGAGUCACAACUUUUCGGAGAGUGUCCUGGGCUCAGGCAUGGGCAUGCCAGGCGCAGGUACAUGUCAUGGCCCAAUACAGAAUUUCUUUGGCAAUCCUCAACAGCGUUGCAGGAUAUUUUUUGCAUCCUGCUGGACAAUAGUGAUCUGUAACAGAGAGUUAUUACGCGGAUAGAGGCUCCAGCAUUUCAGUGCAUAUCGUUUUGCAAGAGAAACCCUUUCGCAAGACAGAUGUGAUUGCAGUUGUCCACACAUAGAGACAGGGAAUUGACUAUUCUGCCUUCACACGUGAUCUGAUGGGAACCAGGAAUUGACAUUGUAUUGAAGUCUUGACGGACUUUUAGCACUUGUUGCCUUUGUCAGAGCUAUUGUCAUCAGUACACUGGCGUGUGUUUGCAGGCACUGGCCUUGAGAAUCAAUUUACAGG